rfam:Ovis aries breed Texel chromosome 1, whole genome shotgun sequence.
UCCCUGGUGGUCCAGUGGUUACGACUCAGUGCUUUCACUGCUGUGGUCUGGGUUCAACCCCUGGUCAGGGAA